UACGUAGGGUGCGAGCGUUGUCCGGAAUUAUUGGGCGUAAAGAGCUCGUAGGCGGUGUGUCACGUCGUUCGUGAAAACCUGCAGCUUAACUGUGGGCGUGCGGUCGAUACGGGCAUCACUGGAGUUCGGCAGGGGAGACUGGAAUUCCUGGUGUAGCAGUGAAAUGCGUAGAUAUCAGGAGGAAUACCGAUGGCGAAGGCAGGUCUCUGGGCUAACACUGACGCUCAUGCACGAAAGCGUGGGGAGCAAACAGG
rnacentral:rRNA from 1 species